GGUCCGUUGGUGUAACGGUCAACACUACCUAUCCUGGCGUAAUCUAGUCGUGCUGGACGCGUCAUUACGGUGGGGCGGAAGAUACCGGUUCGAAUCCGGUACGGACUA